CAUAACCCAUAACCCACUAGCCCGACCUAAUUCCCUUUCCCCAAACACCUGACCCAACACCUCCUCUAUUUCUCUUACUCCAUCAGCAAUAUAAAAAUUUCAACGGUGUAUAAACAGCCGACACAAAAACCCCAAACAACCAAUGACAAACCAACCUAAUACAGAACAACAACUCAGCUACUACAGCGAGACCCAACUUCCAUCGAACAACUUCAAUUUGAUUGAAAUUCAAAUUCUUGUACCAAAACAAGUACAAUCCAGCUCGAAAACUUCUUAUCCUUUCAAUUGUUUUGACUUCAUAAAUUCAGUUUUUGCCUACUAUUCUUUAUAAUGUUGCGUUCAUGGUUCCAUCCUGCUUGUUUUAGUUUCUUUUGGCUUUAGCUUGAUAUUAUCAUGCUUGUUCAAUUUCGAGUCCACUAUUUUCGAUGUAAUAUUUCUUUUUUUCAUCCCCCGUCCAAGUUUAAUACUGCUUCUUGUAAUUCCUUUAAUAUUCUUGUAAUUUGUUAAAGAUUAACAAUUGACCAGAGUAGCAAUUUAUCAAUUCUCGUGUAUUUUAUCGACUCAUAGUUGUCAGCUAAAGUUGUAAACAAUAAAAUUUACUAUUUUAAU
rnacentral:lncRNA from 1 species